rnacentral:snoRNA from 1 species
ACGACCUUACUUGAACAGGAUCUGUUCUAUAGGCUCGUACCUCUGUUUCCUUGAUUUCUAAGGAGACAGGCCCUUAACCCUGGUUGAUGAAUCAUGACCGUGCGAUCAAAACUUUACCCUAGAAUCUUAGCCAGGUUUAGCAGCUUUGGUCGCACGACCGUUGAAGAGUGGUAUGGGUGGUCGCACGGCGGUCUGACAGGUU